rnacentral:rRNA from 1 species
GUGAGGAAUUUUCCGCAAUGGGCGAAAGCCUGACGGAGCAAUGCCGCGUGAAGGAUGAAGGCCUAUGGGUUGUAAACUUCUUUUCUCAGAAAAGAAUUAUGACGGUAUCUGAGGAAUCAGCAUCGGCUAACUCUGUGCCAGCAGCCGCGGUAAGACAGAGGAUGCAAGCGUUAUCCGGAAUGAUUGGGCGUAAAGCGUCUGUAGGUUGUUUAAAAAGUAUUCUGUCAAAGAUUAGGGCUUAACCCUAGAUAGGCAGAAUAAACUUUUAAGCUAGAGUUUGGUAGAGGAAGAGGGAAUUCCCGUUGGAGCGGUGAAAUGCGUAGAUAUCGGGAGGAACACCAAAGGCGAAGGCACUCUGCUGGGCCAAUACUAACACUGAGAGACGAAAGCGAGGGGAGCAAAUGGGAUUAGAAACCCGGGUAGUCC